CACUGUCCCUGUCUACUAUCCA
rnacentral:ncRNA from 2 species